GGGAUUGCCCUAGUAACGGCGAGUGAAGCGGCAACAGCUCAAAUUUGAAAUCUGGCCCCAGGCCCGAGUUGUAAUUUGCAGAGGAUGCUUUUGGCAAAGCGCUUACCGAGUCCCCUGGAACGGGGCGCCACAGAGGGUGAGAGCCCCGUAUGGUAUGACGCCGAGCCUCUGUAAAGCUCCUUCGACGAGUCGAGUAGUUUGGGAAUGCUGCUCUAAAUGGGAGGUAAAUUUCUUCUAAAGCUAAAUACCGGCCAGAGACCGAUAGCGCACAAGUAGAGUGAUCGAAAGAUGAAAAGCACUUUGAAAAGAGGGUUAAAUAGCACGUGAAAUUGUUGAAAGGGAAGCGCUUGUGACCAGACUUGCGCCGGGCGGAUCAUCCAGCGUUCUCGCUGGUGCACUCCGCCCGGCUCAGGCCAGCAUCGGUUUUCGCCGGGGGACAAAAGCUUCGGGAACGUGGCUCCCUUCGGGGAGUGUUAUAGCCCGUUGUUUAAUACCCCGGCGGGGACCGAGGACCGCGCUUCGGCAAGGAUGCUGGCGUAAUGGUCAUCAGCGACCCGUCUUGAAACACGGACCGAGGAGUCAAGCAUUAGUGCGAGUGUUUGGGUGUAAAACCCGCACGCGUAAUGAAAGUGAACGUAGGUGAGAGCUUCGGCGCAUCAUCGACCGAUCCUGAUGUUUUCGGAUGGAUUUGAGUAGGAGCAUUAACGCUUGGACCCGAAAGAUGGUGAACUAUACUUGAAUAGGGUGAAGCCAGAGGAAACUCUGGUGGAGGCUCGCAGCGGUUCUGACGUGCAAAUCGAUCGUCAAAUUUG
rnacentral:rRNA from 1 species